UUCUCUUAGAUCUGCAACGAAGCAAGGCCU
rnacentral:piRNA from 1 species